rnacentral:rRNA from 1 species
UGCAGCCAUGCCGCGUGUAUGAAGAAGGCCUUCGGGUUGUAAAGUACUUUCAGCGGGGAGGAAGGGAGUAAAGUUAAUACCUUU